CAGCAGCCGCGGGAAUACGUAGGUGGCAAGCGUUGUCCGGAAUUAUUGGGCGUAAAGCGCGCGCAGGUGGUUUAAUAAGUCUGAUGUGAAAGCCCACGGCUCAACCGUGGAGGGUCAUUGGAAACUGUUAAACUUGAGUGCAGGAGAGGAAAGUGGAAUUCCUAGUGUAGCGGUGAAAUGCGUAGAGAUUAGGAGGAACACCAGUGGCGAAGGCGGCUUUUUGGCCUGUAACUGACACUGAGGCGCGAAAGCGUGGGGAGCAAACAGGAUUAGAUACCCCAGUAGUCCCUGUCUCUUAUAC
rnacentral:rRNA from 1 species